CUCCUGGCCCUGCACAGGACAGCCAGUGUGAUAUGCACAAAUUCAAAACAUAGCACCACAGCAGCUACUGAGAAGACAAUUAACCCAGCCAAACCUCACUCAGUUCCAGCUUCCCAGGAUAUGACUGCAAGCACUCAGAUGUGACAUUCGGCCCUUCUCUCAUCACCUUUGACUGUGGUAGCUGGUUUUUUUGACUGGGAUGUUACUCCUGGGGCUGGGCAGCAGCAUUUCAGUUACAAGAGCAUCCUCUUUCCUGUGGUGGGAGCCCCAGUCAUUUGCAGGUGGCCUGCACAACAUCUGUGUACCAUUUAUAUCUCUCUUCAGCUUCUGAAGUAAAGUCUGGUUUGAUGGGCCUGCUUGAUCAGCUGGGUGCACAGAGUGGAGGAACAUCAGAAGGUAGGGGAGAGGCAAAGGAAGAGAGAAUCCCUUCUCCAAUGGCAGUGGAUGUUCAGUGGCAAGUUCUAGUAUGUACCUUCCCUUCUGCAGGAACAGCUGGUUGGAAUUAAUUUCUCAGUCCAGUGCUGUUGGUAGGUUUGUGUGGGAGUGAAAUGGAAGAGGAAAAUUCUCAAAAGGACUGAAACAUUCAAGUAUUACCAAGAGAGAGUUUUAUAAAGACUUCCCUUGAUUUCAGAAGGGAAAACAAGAGGCAGGGAUCAGCAUUUCAGAUCAAACACUGUAGUCUCAUUAUGUGGAUGCUUCACUAGUUGUAUCAGGAAUUAAAUGUGUGUUCUGCCCAUGGCUCAGGCAUAUUGGAAAUGCUGUGAGGUCUGGGUUUGGAGAUCCGUGUGCUGCUUAUACCAGAGGCCUUGGACAAUCUAGUUCAUUCUGUGUUCUUUGUAGAGCUCUAGGACUAGAACAAUGUUCUUGGAAUCCCUUGGAUUGGGAUUUCUCCCUCCACUUUUGUUGCCCUGAUUCACAAUUCAUCCUCAGUGACUCCUUCUAUAGCAAACUGAGAGAGAGGUGCAAGUCCAGGGGACACCUCUUUUCUACGAUUGACAUUUUGAGUUAUGGCAGAUAAGUAGGUUACUAGAGCAUACUGUUUCUCUCUCCAACCAUUCCUGGGUCCUGAAGUCACCAGUUCAGAACUGAGCAUGUAAAGCUUGGUGAGAUAACCCCCAAUCUAAUGUCUAAAUCAUCACCUUCUCUUUCUUUUGGCUUCUCAUAUCUGGCCAAGAUUUUAGCAUAAAAACCUUUUUGCUGCCACCAUGCCUAAGGGCUGCAGGUUUUUUUAAUAAGAGGCUGUUAUUACCCAACUGGUCAAGACAUAUUUUUGAGCUCAUUUCUGGGAACUUUCUGAAUGAUGUUUGGGAUCAGCAUGAAGUCACUUCUCCUUGCCAGUCACAGUGCAACUUUGAAACAAUACCGAUUCAAGACAUGCUGAAUGGAGAGUAGAUUUAGAGAUGAAAGCCAAAGGUUUCUGAAUUCUCUAGGCUUAGGAGGUUUUUGGGAAUUCAUUUUGGGAGACGGGGCUGCUUCAGGCUCCUACACAAAAGCAUACAAUGAGAGAAGAUUCUUACCUCAAAGAACUGCUCAAGUAAGUAGGCAAGACCAAAAAGAGCAAAAACCAUAGAAGCAAAGAGGACUCAGUUCAGAUGCCUAUACAUAGGUAGGUAUCUAGGGCCACUGGAGAUGCCUUAAGAUAGCUCUGAGAUCCAUGUGGAGCUCACAGAUAUGGCACAGAACUUGCAGGAAUCCUUGGACUUACCAGAACAGCGGGAGGUCAGGUGAGAUGCCUUAGGGUAUCCUGAAUGUCCAUAGGUUCCUAUGUGUGGGCAGCUGGAUCAGUCCUUAGAACUCCUCUAAGCAUUGUAGAAGUUAAUUAGAUGUAGACAACCAAAUUUAGGUGUCUUGUAAGAUGUUCACACUUGAAAUGACUUGCCCAAGGUCACAAAGGUAACAGCCUCAGAGCCAGAAUCUGGUUUGCACCCAAGUGGGUGGAAUUCUCUGGAUUUGGCUCUCCACUAACUGCAGGUCACCUUCACCUCACUCCUGUGAGAGAGGCAAGAUUUCCUUCUGCUUUAUAAGUCUGGGAAAUGAGGCGUGGGGAGGCUGAGUGACGUUUUUGAGACCUCAGAGUAAACUUAGUAUGUCAUAUGCAGAAGAAAAAUCUAUGCUGGUAAAAUUAACAUUCUGGGUUUUAGGACCAUAAUUUAGACAAGAACUGCUGUAAUCGUCCAGUCCUAUGCAUAGAGACAGGCUGCUCAGUACCUGUGCCAAAUCUUUCUUCCUGUAAUCUGUUCUGAACCUUCCAAGGUCUGUGCGAUUGGUUGCAUGAUGCAUAAGUGAGGCAAUCGAGAAAGAGAAUCCCUGUGCCAGAAGGAGCUUCUUCCUUCAACUGCUUCACUGUGCAUCUUAAGGACUUCUGUUUGCUUUAAAUAGAUGUGAAUUUGGACUUUUUCGUGCACAAGAGCUUUACGGACUAGACCCAAAAAAGUUUGGUUAGGUUUUCAGAGGGUUUUAGUGAUGACCGAUUGUCACCUGAAAUCACUGUAUUUCUCCAGAAACACAUACAAGCUGGUAAUUGCAUAUUAGCAAAACAAGUGUAGUAAUUUAAUUAUUAUUCUGCAGGUAAUUCUAUUGCUGUUAAAACAUCUAUUAUUGUGCUACCCUUUGUUGAGAGACUGCUCAUAAAACCAGCUCUCAUUUGUUUCUGUUUUUGGCAAUUGAAAGUUGAUGUGAUUGUUAAAAUGAAGUAGGGGGAGAUCACAUGAACCUCCCUUGACAAAUGUCCUCAUGAAAAUGUCAUUCCAGAAGUUCAGAGCUUUCUCUGGAGGACAGUCUUGCCAAGGAACAAGGUCUGCUGGUAGUGUUGACAAUCUGAUCCUGCCCUUGAACUUCUCAUGACUAGGAAGUACAUUAUCCCAUAAGUGGCUGUAGACCUUGUUUAGCAAGAGUGCAGAUGUAGAUAUGAGCUGAAUAAGAGAUUUGUGUGUUUUUUACCCUCUUUCCUGUCCUGUGGCAUCCACAGCUCUGGCAUUUACAUCUUGUUGAAGCCAGUUUCAUACAGAGUUUAAAUUACUAGUAAUUUUAAAUAUCUGCAUAUCAAUAUGAAUAUCUACAUGCAUAAAACAGUUGAGAGGUUUGGUUCAGUUAAAUUGCAUAGGAAGGGAAUUCAAUGCCAGGUAUUCCAAAGGCCAGGUAUAUACCAGUUUUAGAAGGUAGCAGGACACUUCAAAUCUUUAGAUAUGUGCUGGUAGUUAAGGUUGUGGUGCCUUAACUAGUUAGAUAUUCUUGUGGCUUAUUGGUGUUUGGUGUUGUAUACACAUGCCUUACACCUUUGUAGCACUGUGGGAAAAACAUAAAUGGGAUGUCGGGUCUGAGACUGUCCUGCCCUGUGGGACUUGGCCUGGAUUAAGUGGAUAACUGAAAUAAUAACAUACUAAUGGGUUUAAGACUGAAAAAGUAAAAAAUGAUGUCUUAAAAUUGCUGUAACAGCUUGAUUAGCAGCAAGAAGCCGUUCUCAUUUUUCAAGUAAUUUUAUUUGUAUUAGAUGAAACUUUUUAGGUGGGUAAGGAAUUUUGAUCGAUGAGAGUUAAAUUGCUGACAGCUACAAAGAGCAUUGCUACAAGAGAUGAGGUUUUGGACGUCAGAUGUGUGCCACAGUACAUCUUCUUUGUAUGAAGUGGAGGUAGGAAUAGCAAAGCCCACAGGCUGGUCACAUUGAUUAGAGGGAUGAAGCCCCUCUCCUAUGAGGAAAGGCUGAGAGAAGAGAAGGCUCUGGUGUGAUCUAAUUGUGGCCUUCCAGUACAUGAAGGGAACCCACAGUAAAGAUAGAGGGACUACAAGGGCCUGGAGUGACAGGACAUGGGGAAUGGCUUCAAACUGACAGAGGGCAGGUUUA